UACGGAGGGAGCUAGCGUUAUUCGGAAUUACUGGGCGUAAAGCGCACGUAGGCGGCUUUGUAAGUAAGAGGUGAAAGCCCAGAGCUCAACUCUGGAAUUGCCUUUUAGACUGCAUCGCUUGAAUCAUGGAGAGGUCAAUGGAAUUCCGAGUGUAGAGGUGAAAUUCGUAGAUAUUCGGAAGAACACCAGUGGCGAAGGCGGCUGACUGGACAUGUAUUGACGCUGAGGUGCGAAAGCGUGGGGGAGCAAACAGG
rnacentral:rRNA from 1 species